AGUGAACGCUGGCGGUAGGCCUAACACAUGCAAGUCGAACGGCAGCACAGUAAGAGCUUGCUCUUACGGGUGGCGAGUGGCGGACGGGUGAGGAAUACAUCGGAAUCUACUUUUUCGUGGGGGAUAACGUAGGGAAACUUACGCUAAUACCGCAUACGACCUACGGGUGAAAGCAGGGGAUCUUCGGACCUUGCGCGAUUGAAUGAGCCGAUGUCGGAUUAGCUAGUUGGCGGGGUAAAGGCCCACCAAGGCGAUGAUCCGUAGCUGGUCUGAGAGGAUGAUCGGCCACACUGGAACUGAGACACGGUCCAGACUCCUACGGGAGGCAGCAGUGGGGAAUGUUGGACAAUGGGCGCAAGCCUGAUCCAGCCAUACCGCGUGGGUGAAGAAGGCCUUCGGGUUGUAAAGCCCUUUUGUUGGGAAAGAAAAGCAGCAGGUUAAUACCCCGCUGUUCUGACGGUACCCAAAGAAUAAGCACCGGCUAACUUCGUG
rnacentral:rRNA from 1 species